rfam:Bacillus infantis NRRL B-14911, complete genome.
CCUUAAGGAACGCAGACUAAAAACGCCACGUCCUGCUGCAACGUCUGCAUGACCCCCAUCCUGGGGG